GUCCAUUUGACAUUUAAACACUGGUUCUUGUAUGAUCAUUGAAGUUAAGCAAUGUCGAGCCUGGUCAUUACCUAGAUGGGUGACCACUUGGGAAUACCAGGUACUGUAA